CAGCAUUUGACACAUGGACUUUAACCAUACAUGGUCAAACCAUGGUUAACCAUGCACUUUAACCAGAGACCUGGAAGUUAAAUGUGAAACUGGGAAGAGAAGAGAGUUGGAUCUGGUAGACCACAGCUGGCACGGUUCUGAGUUUAGACAGCAUUUAUUUCACUGAUGCACAUCAAUCAAAGAAAGGACCAAGGGAAAAGCAAAACGAGGAUGCCAAGAUAACAUUCAAAUUUUACAGCUAUACCACAAAGUGGAAAUUGUUCUGGGAAAAUGGGACUGUGGAAAAGUUGACAGAAGAAAAUAUCAUCUUUCUGGAGGAUGUCACUUUAUAGUUACACUGUGGGCAAAUUAUUGUUAUUAUAAACAGACAGUUCUACAA